rnacentral:lncRNA from 1 species
UCUUUUCUCCUAUAAAAUUUGAUUGCUCAACACAAUAUAUUAUUCAAACUUACUUUUGUUUAGAAAAGAAAAACUGAUCACCGCAUCACAUUCAAACAAAAAUUCCAUGGUUAAAUCUACAACACACAAAAUUAACAAACACUUUCUUAAACUAAAAACUAUUAAUCAAAAAUAUAAAUUUUCUUAAUUUUAACAUGUUAUCCGCGCGUAGCGCGGACACCGAAUCU